CGUGGGGGGGCGGGCGGCGGCGACCCGCGGCCUGACCUGCCCGGGCGCCGGGUCUCAUGACGUCACCUCGCCGUGACGCGCACGCGGUAGGAAAACUGAUUAAAUUAAAAGGAUUUACCAUACAUCUUAUGACUCUUUACUGGAGCCUUGGGAGAUAGAUAUGUUUUCUAUAAGUGGAGCAUAGUUGGAUUUCAUAGUUGGAUUUUUUAACCUAAUGGGAGGAACCUUUGUCUUUUAACAGGUAAAGAUGAAUGUCAUGUCUCAACCAACACUGAAAAUGUGACGUUUAGAAGACAUUUGCUAAGUCGAGUCACCUCAUGCAAAUUGUUGUUCAAGUCAAAGACAUCAUAAUGCAGAGUGCUUCAUCAGUACCACCAAAAGAUCAAGACGUUUUGACCCAGGAACUCCACUUCCAGGAAUCUGGCCUAUAGAUAUUACUGCACGAGUUCACAGACAGAUGUGGACAAAGAAGGGCGCCUGCCAUGUCAGGAAACAAAGGAUGUUGCAGCCGUCAAGCUGUCAGCCACUGCAGCUGCCCCAGACUGUGCACCCAGAGCGGAUUCGGGAUGGAGACACCCAGGAUGCCGGCCCCAGAUAGCUAAGUACCUGGGCUGCCGUCGUUCGGGAAGCCCUCGGCAACGCUGUGAAGGAAGGAGAAGUCGUCUGACCCCUUGAGCUUGAGCCCCUGCUGCCUGACAGUACCGCAUCACAGCCCACAGGCCCCCAUAUGGAACAUCAGGCCAGAUGUUUUACUGACGUCACAGAUAACUAUCACUGCAGUAUUUAAAUGGACCCCAAGAGAAAAGCUCCAGAAUUUUCUUAAUUGCAUUCUAAAGACGUUUGGACUGAAGCUGAUGGUGGCAGCACCUCCUACUCCCCCGUUGACUGCAGCCUGCAUCCUUACCUCCACGUGACGACGUCCUUGGACUAGAUUCCCUCCAGACUUCUCCCAACCCGUAGCUGCAGCUCCCGCCUCUUCACCAGACCCAGUACCACCCCUAGCUCUCAAAAGAAGUUCUACAGAACGAAGAGUUAAUCUUAUCCAGGUUCAGAGCCAGAAACCUGUCAUGUGAAAUCCCAGCGAAGACCAACAUUCUUUCCAGACUUUCGUACGUGUCCUCGGGCAUCUGUCACUCCCAGGGACCAUCAGGCUUGGCUGGAGCGAUGCAGUCCUUGACGCUGGGUUCUGAAGACUCAGGGAACAUGCGUUCAUUGCUGUUGUUUGGAAAACCAGCUGGAGGCCCGAGAGGGAAUUCAAACCAAGUUGCCGGUGGAUGGGCCCAGGGACUGAUGCCAUCCUACAGGCAUCCCCGGGACCAGGGCACAGGACGAGGGGCUGCGAUAUUGGCUCGCGAUGAGCCGUGGCCUCUGAGGACGGCGCCGCACCAGCCCCCCGGGCCCCUUCCUCCAAAGGCUUUGCUAAAUCUACUCCUCAGAGGGUCACCCUUCCUGCCGUGACGUCCUCGCACCAUCAGUUGUCAGGAAAGAUAAGGAACAGAGAUCCGAGCAGCCAGGACGUGUGCCCUAAGCCUCAGCGCUGGUCCAGGGACAGAGCGGAGCUGAGGCUGCCCAGGGACUGCGGGCCCCUGUCCUCAGAGUUGACAGUGGCACAGGGAAUUCGCUGAGGUCUUCAGAACAAGAGAAACUGGGCCUGAGUUGCUGUUCAUGAGGAAACACCGAGAUGGAUCUGGACCUGCCUUGGGAAGCGCACUGCGGGACCUCGAGCCUGAGCCUGAGCCGUGACGGGGAGAGACCUUCGGGGGUCUUUGGAUUCUGUGUGCAGAACGAAUGUUCCCAAGGAUGGAGGUGAAUUCCAAAGACGAAUUUCCCUGUAUCCUGCAUGGCCCACUGCAUCUAAAAUGGAAGAGCCAAGAAGAAACCAGCCGCUCACUGGUGGUUCACCUGCUUCCAGGCAGGCAGUGCAUUGUAUUCGUCUCGGGUCAUGUCUAGUGCAAACUGGAAGGAGGGAAAGAAACGCCCUGAGUGAAAGGACCCUCCGACAAGCCACGCAUGCUGUGUUCAAAUGCUGUCCCACCCGAAGAAGCGCUUACCUCGAAAUCCUCGUCGGUGAGGUAAAUCUCCAGCUUCAGAGGGUCCACGCCCUCGGGCAGGGGCCUGGCUAGGAGGUCGGCCAGCGGGUAGAUGGUUUUGCACAGCUUGGCUAAGACAUCCUCCACCAGGGUGAUCUGAUUUGAAACUUCCGUGUCCUGGAGAAGAGGAGGGGGCAGAGAGGGGGACCUCCGUGUCCCACAUCUGAACACGUUUCAUCAUGUGCCUGAAAAUAUGCCCCCCUGGCCCAUCCGCACCGCAGCCUGGAGACCCCGCUCAGGGAGAUGAGGCUCUGAGAGGCCAUCUCACCCUGCACGGCGUUUCAGAUACAUCAGGAAAAAGUUUAGGGACUGUCACACGAGUGAAUUAUCCAGAAGAUGGCUAAAUGUGAAGCUGAAACGCUGGAAGCAUGCAAAUAAAUGGAACUUGCUUACAAAUAUUUAAAAACAGUUAACCUUAAAAGGAAUUACCCCCCUCCACCUCCUCAGACCCCAUCUCUUCAUCCUCAAUAGAAAAAGGAGGUAAGAAAAUGCAUCUAGAAUAAGCUGGGGCUGAACUGAGGUCUUUUUUGCUUUUAAACCACUGUGUGCAUUUCAUCUGAACAGGUUAUUCCGGGUGAACGAUCUUCCUCUGUUAAACCUGGGACCCCGCAGUGGGCUACCUCCUUUGGGUGGAGGUGUGUGUGUGGGGAAUGAUGUGAAUUCAGCUGCACUCAGACCAGGGAUCGGGGGCGAGUGGCGGAGGGAACGUGUCAGAGAUCGGGGCGAGCUUCUCCGAGUGCCCACGCCUCGGCUAGUUCGCCAGUGAAAUGGGAUAAGCAGCAGCUGGAUCUUAGUGGACUGUUGUGAAAAUUAAAGGCGAAGCUAAGUGCGGUGUGCGGAGCAGUGCCUGGCACAGAGCGGCCCUUAGUGAAUUCUCAUCACGACUUGCCCGACGGCAGACUGGCCGAUGGCCUGCAGGCUGUACAGGACUCCCCAGAGCCCCCCGGCCAGCCCCCGGGGGUCUGCAGGGCACACGGGACAAUGGCAGUGAUUCAUGUAAUUGAACUCGGACCGCAGCAACGGGGCUCGUAACCCUUAGAGCUCUGAGGUGUCCUGGGUCACACGUUCAUCCUGGAUAGAGCCACCUUGCCAUGCCUGUCGGCUCCCAGGCGGCCUGAGCCCCCAUCUGUGAAGGUCAAGUCCACGGGGCUCCAGGGAGUGAGCUUAGGGUCACCAGCAGAGAUGAAGCAGGCCCUCUCCGUGGUCGAGAAGCGGCACACGUUUGCUGUUUGUUUAAACUUAUCCAGACCUCCUAUCAAAUACCCCUCCACGUCAUCUCUGCCAGGGAAGUGGCCCUCCUCCUACACAGUGAGAAAGCCUGAACGGAACAAACCUGUCUCCCACGACACCAAAAACGCCCUUGGGAUUGCUACUGCAAGCAGCGUUCGAAGCUCAGACACUGAGGAAUUCUACAUAGCGGCAGCCCUUCCUCUUCCUGAGCUGAUUCUGCGGAGACUGGUGAACGUGUUGUGACCAAGGAAACGUGUUCCCACGUGAAAUGCGAUUGGCUGCUUCUCCCAGCUGGGAAACAUGUUGGUGAAGGUCAGGGGCUCCAGACCGGCAUGGAUGAGAACACUUCUGGGUCCCUGGAUGGGAGAAGAGCAAGCCUCUCUCUGUGGCGUCUGGGUGGGACCGUCCCUCCUGGACUCACCUGUGAAGUAUUCCUCUGAUUGCCUAACCCAGCCUUGAGUUCGGUGUGAAUUACCAGCUAAUGGCAGCAUUUUAGAAGCUACUGUAGCUUAAACAUUUGGUGGGAAGUUUAUUAAGUUAUUGUUUAUGAAAGAGCUUUCCAAGAGAAAAUCAGCUGUAUAUAUUCAGUAAUACUAAUCAAUGAAAUCUUAAAAAUUCAGGUAAGACAUUAAUCACUGGCACCUUCAUUUUAUAUAAGAGAACAGACGUUUCAGGUGGAUGGUAUAGUAGAGAAGCCAUGAAUUGACUACAGAUCUCUCUUUUUAGGUAAAACACUAAACAGAGUAACAGAUGACAGAAAGGUUGCCAUUGGCCUUCCAGCCCGCUUGGGGGUGCUCUCUACUCUCCGACGGGGCUGACACUGGGUGUGGACAGUGCGCGGAUGGGGCCUGGUGUCCCCCAGCAUGAUCGAUCCUCAGUGCAGAAGGGUUUUAACCAGGCCAGGCAUCCCACAACUCAGCCGUUAACCUCGAGGGUGACAGGCUGCUGGCACCCGUGGAAAGGGAAGCGUGUAUCCGGGCCCCCCCCCGCCGCCGCGGCCUCACCUCGGCAGUACUGCAGAACCGUCUCCAUGGCGUUCUUUCGGUCCGAGGCCCAGCGGAUGCGGGCGGAGCCGGUGAUCUUGUUCUCCACGGGCCACCAGCCCUGCCAGAGGUACACCUCGUGGUGAUUGUCAACAAGGAAAAGUGCUGCGAGGGCGGAGCAGAGCAGACGUCUCGUCAGGGGCUCUGUCCCACACCGAACCGACGCCUCCCUCCCUGCCGCCUCGGUCAGUGCGAGAAUCCGCUUGGCAGGUAAACUCGGGGCCGCAGGGAGGGUGCCCCUGAUGUCUUGGCCCUUUGAACGGUGAAGCAGGAGAUGCCUCGAGGCAGAGAGAUGGCGUUGAUGAGGGGGGCUCUUUCCUCCCUCUCCCCCCAUUCCUUCCCCCUUUGCCCCUCCUGCAGCUGCCCUCUGGGGCCUGGCCGGUUGCGAAGAGUGGGACAGAUGGCAUCACGCUGGCCCUCGGGUCAUCGGUGGUCAUGCCCCACGUAGGACUGCUUGGCAGGCCAUCUAAGUCCAUGGUUCUUUCAGGGAGGAAUGGGCUUUGGAAAUCAAGUGUUGCUCCCUUUUCCCUUCAGCAGACCCUCAGCCUGACUCUUCCACGUGGUCAAGGGCUCUCACACCCGCCAGCCCAGCUCGCCUGAGUCCUUUCCUAGCCUGCACCUCAGAAUUCUGUGAUAAUCACAUGCCUGAAAAGCCCGGCGGAGGCUGCCCCCCCCCGAGCCGCAGGACGGAGAGAAACAUGAUGGCUGGAGCAGGGGCAGCUACAUGGAGACCAUGAAGCAGCAAGCUGGAGGGAAGGCUGAGAGAACAGCAGAGACUCAUGCCUGACACAGCUGCACUCAACCUACUCUUAACUGACGAAUUUGGCUUCGCUUUCAGAGAAUUACAUUACCGUACAGUAUGCCUCUCUCUAAUUGGGGAAGCUGUGUAUCAGCCUAUCAUCACGGAUGCCGGCUGCACCGAAAGCGUCUUGUUCCAGAGCUUCAGGCUGUGCUCAGCUCGCUUCCUGGAAUUCUCCCCCCUCCUUCACUUCUCUCCAAGCCACCAAGGCUACACCUCCAAGGCUCCGGGGUCCAGGGGCGAACCUGAUGGGCCUCAGUGCCAUGUGAGACCUGGCUGAACCCUGUCUAUCAUCUAGCUUGCUGGCCCUCAGCGUGAUGUCGGGAGACGAAGCAUCCCGCUUCACAGCUGUCCACCAGCCGAAAGGUCCCCCGCCCUCCACGUGCGCUGGGUCACGUGUGCGCCGUGAGGGGGAGCCGACCCUGACCGCACCGCUUUGGUGCCCAGAGAAUGAAUUUACCAGGUGGCACCUGGUGGGAUGUGGCCCCGGGAGACUCUUCCUCUCCACUGUACGGGUGUCACAAGGUCCUCCCAGGUCUCAGCUCGAGGGGGCACUGGGCUCUUUGGCUGCCCGAGAUGCACAGAGGCACCUGGGCAGGUGGCGGGCGGCACAGCUGCUUCUGGGCUCUCCCCGCCUUCCCCUCCCCAGGGGGGGUCCUCACCUAGCGCUGUCACGCUGUGCUGUCUCUGGGUCGUGGGCACCUGUGGGUGCCUGUCUGGGAAAGGGCAGCUGCCUCGGACGCUGGGAAACACACUUGUCCCCGAAGGAGGGGGCAUUCCUCAGUCUGACACAGUGGGUGGUCUCCUAACUGUCUUUGGCUAAAUGCCCUUCAACCUUCCACUGCUCCGAUACAACCAGCUCUGCUCCCCUAAAUGAUAUUUGAAAUUUGCUCUCUUUAAAUAGACAAGGACUCCAGGUUGACAAUUCAAAAGCCAAAUCACACCUUCAGAGAAGCUGCUGGGGGUCCUGUGCCUUUCACGGAGGCCAGUCCUUCCGACCUCCUUCGUGUGGGCCUGGGCUUUGCAUCCGUGCCACAGGUAGAUGAGGGCUUUGUGGACGUUGAGGACGACCAUGGACGUCCUGGACCUCAGGCUGCUGCAGUGACAGGCCACCUCCAGCAAGUUCCCUUCCACGGGCACUUCUCCGCGCACACAGUACAGCCUCCACUCGCCUGCAGGGGGCACCAGUGGCACAGUCAGGACGUGGCGGCGCAGGGAGGGGGCCUGGAGGAAGGGGAGCCUGCAGGGCAGCCCACGCCCCGCCUCCUUUCUGUGUCUGGAGGGGCAGGUGGAGGCGAGGCCAGGCUGCGGUCUUACUGAGUCCCAGGAAGCCAAUUUUGUUGGAGUUAUAGUUAGCAGCAGGCUGCCCAGAGUGCACGAUGCAGAAAAACCAGUUUUACAUAAUUUAUAAAGAUCUAGGUAAGUCAUAACAGGCAUAUUUUUUUAAGAGGCUCUGAAACUAUGAUUUCUUUUUUGUUUUUUGGAUGCUGGUCAACAAAAAUCUCGUAAUUUAGAAGAGAAGAUCACUAGUUUUUUUUUCCCCCUCCAGGAUCCAGUUUAAGGUCGAGUCAUCUUGCCGCCUCCUUUAUGCAAAGCUGCUUUCUGAAGGCAACUCCAUGGAAGGGAGGGGGAGGGAGGCACCCAGGAAGCUGAUUUAUAAGGCAGACAUCAGGAGGCCUUCGCUGGUCAGGCCGCAGCUACAUGAAGAGAGAGUUACUCUAAAGCCCACGCCUAUAAAAUACCUUCCCGGAGAGGAGAAGAGAGUCGAAUUCCAGCAGCAAAAGUGACUCACUCUGUGCGUUGUCUUCUUCCUCCUCCCGUCUCCCGGAGUGGACCACCAUCCCUCCCUGGAAACACUGCAGAAAACAGGGGGGCUCCUUGCCCUGCAGGACCUGGACCUUCCGAUUUAAACACAUUACAGUGAGUCACGUGUCCUGGUUUUGCAGAGUCAUAAAAAUAACACAUGCCUGUUGUCGAAAUCUGAAAAAUACUGAGAAGUACAAAUAAAAGCCACUGAUAAUACUGUGAUUGAUGGAGAACACUACUACAAUUCUGGCGUGUAGCUCCCCUAUUAAUACAAAGUAUUUUUCAGGUAUACAUUUUUCCCAAAUAGGAUCGCUGUUUUUUAUGUUGCUUUAUCCCUGGAUUUUCUUCAGCUGACGUUUUUCUGUCGUCACAUAAGAUUCUUAACGUGAAUUUUGAUAUUUUAAUGGUAGUGUUCCACGGUACGGAUAUAACGUGAUUAACUUAAACAUGUUUUUAAUAAAGAAAAUCUCUCAGCAGUGAGAAUGACUAA